ACGCUGGCGGCGUGCCUAAUACAUGCAAGUCGAGCGAGCUGAAUUCAAAGAUCCCUUCGGGGUGAUUUGUUGGACGCUAGCGGCGGAUGGGUGAGUAACACGUGGGCAAUCUGCCCUAAAGACUGGGAUACCACUUGGAAACAGGUGCUAAUACCGGAUAACAACAUGAAUCGCAUGAUUCAAGUUUGAAAGGCGGCGUAAGCUGUCACUUUAGGAUGAGCCCGCGGCGCAUUAGCUAGUUGGUGGGGUAAAGGCCUACCAAGGCAAUGAUGCGUAGCCGAGUUGAGAGACUGAUCGGCCACAUUGGGACUAAGACACGGCCCAAACUCCUACGGGAGGCAGCAGUAGGGAAUCUUCCACAAUGGACGCAAGUCUGAUGGAGCAACGCCGCGUGAGUGAAGAAGGUUUUCGGAUCGUAAAGCUCUGUUGUUGGUGAAGAAGGAUAGAGGCAGUAACUGGUCUUUAUUUGACGGUAAUCAACCAGAAAGUCACGGCUAACUACGUGCCAGCAGCCGCGGUAAUACGUAGGUGGCAAGCGUUGUCCGGAUUUAUUGGGCGUAAAGCGAGCGCAGGCGGAAUGAUAAGUCUGAUGUGAAAGCCCACGGCUCAACCGUGGAACUGCAUCGGAAACUGUCAUUCUUGAGUGCAGAAGAGGAGAGUGGAACUCCAUGUGUAGCGGUGGAAUGCGUAGAUAUAUGGAAGACACCAGUGGCGAAGGCGGCUCUCUGGUCUGCAACUGACGCUGAGGCUCGAAAGCAUGGGUAGCGAACAGGAUUAGAUACCCUGGUAGUCCAUGCCGUAAACGAUGAGCGCUAGGUGUUGGGGACUUUCCGGUCCUCAGUGCCGCAGCAAACGCAUUAAGCGCUCCGCCUGGGGAGUACGACCGCAAGGUUGAAACUCAAAGGAAUU
rnacentral:rRNA from 1 species